UAUUUUAGUAGGAUGUAACUUGGAG
rnacentral:piRNA from 1 species